UACGUAGGUGGCAAGCGUUAUCCGGAUUUAUUGGGCCUAAAGCAUUCGUAGCCGGUUUGAAAAAUCCUUUGUGAAAUUGUUGAACUCAAUACAACAGCGUGCAGGGGACACUUUCAGGCUAGAGACUGGGAGGAGUUGGGGGUAUGCCUUGGGGAACGGUUAAAUGUGAUAAUCCAAGGUAGACCACCUGUGGCGAAGGCGCCCAACUAGAACAGUUCUGACGGUGAGGGAUGAAAGCUAGGGGAGCGAUCCG
rnacentral:rRNA from 1 species